GACGAACGCUGGCGGCGUGCUUAACACAUGCAAGUCGAACGGUGAUAUCAGUGCUUGCACUGGUUGAUCAGUGGCGAACGGGUGAGUAACACGUGAGCAACCUACCCUCAACUCUGGGAUAGCCCUGGGAAACUGGGAUUAAUACCGGAUACAACGCAUCGGGGCAUCUCGUGUGCGUGGAAAGAAUUUUGGUUGGGGAUGGGCUCGCGGCCUAUCAGCUAGUUGGUGAGGUAACGGCCCACCAAGGCGACGACGGGUAGCCGGCCUGAGAGGGCGACCGGCCACACUGGGACUGAGACACGGCCCAGACUCCUACGGGAGGCAGCAGUGGGGAAUAUUGCGCAAUGGGCGAAAGCCUGACGCAGCGACGCCGCGUGAGGGAUGAAGGCCUUCGGGUUGUAAACCUCCUUCAGCAGGGAAGAAGCGAAAGUGAACGUACCUGCAGAAGAAGCACCGGCUAACUACGUGCCAGCAGCCGCGGUAUUACGUAGGGUGCAAGCGUUGUCCGAAAUUAUGGGCGUUAAGAACUCCUAGCGGUCUGUCGCGUCUGCUGUGAAAACCUGGGGCUUAACCCCGGGCCUGCAGUGGGUACGGGCAGACUAGAGUGCGGUAGAGGAGACUGGAAUUCCUGGUGUAGCGGUGGAAUGCGCAGAUACCAGGAGGAACACCGGUGGCGAAGGCGGGUCUCUGGGCUGUAACUGACGCUGAGGAGCGAAAGCAUGGGGAGCGAACAGGAUUAGAUACCCUGGUAGUCCAUGCCGUAAACGUUGGGCGCUAGGUGUGGGGCCCUAUCCACGGGUUCCGUGCCGCAGCUAACGCAUUAAGCGCCCCGCCUGGGGAGUACGGCCGCAAGGCUAAAACUCAAAGGAAUUGACGGGGGCCCGCACAAGCGGCGGAGCAUGCGGAUUAAUUCGAUGCAACGCGAAGAACCUUACCAAGGCUUGACAUACAGGGAAAACUGUCAGAGAUGGCACGUCCGCAAGGGCCCUGUACAGGUGGUGCAUGGUUGUCGUCAGCUCGUGUCGUGAGAUGUUGGGUUAAGUCCCGCAACGAGCGCAACCCUCGUUCUAUGUUGCCAGCGGGUUAUGCCGGGGACUCAUAGGAGACUGCCGGGGUCAACUCGGAGGAAGGUGGGGAUGACGUCAAAUCAUCAUGCCCCUUAUGUCUUGGGCUUCACGCAUGCUACAAUGGCCAGUACAAUGGGCUGCGAGACCGUAAGGUGGAGCGAAUCCCAAAAAGCUGAUCUCAGUUCGGAUUGGGGUCUGCAACUCGACCCCAUGAAGUCGGAGUCGCUAGUAAUCGCAGAUCAGCAACGCUGCGGUGAAUACGUUCCCGGGCCU
rnacentral:rRNA from 1 species